GAAUGUGGAGAGGACCCACUUGGGUAAGGAAGGACAAGCAAGCAGGACAGAAGGUGGAGGAGGUGUAGCUGCCUUGGGGGAACAGACUGAGACACAACUGUGACUAUAGUCUACAAUACAAUUUGUAUAUUAGCAACAAAGGGCUUCAUUCAGCUUAUGCCAUAGAGAACCAACAUCACAGAGGUAAACUUGUUAAUUAGAGCAGAAAUCCAACACAAAUAUCACUGAAGAGGGAAUACAUCCACAUGAAAAUUACAGCGAGCUGUGGGUCACUGUCUUCAUUUAGCUCCUGAGAUGAGGCAGCCAAAUUACCUGUCUGUUGGGAUUCCUGAGCCAAUUCUGGAGCACGACGUAAGCAUGUCACUGUCAGUUUGGCACUCAUAUGCUGCAACUUUAAUGGCCUUCAUUCCUCAAGUAGAUCAUAUACUCUCAGUGCUAGUCGGCAGCCUCUUGCUAUACCUCGUGAGCAAACAUAAUGGAGAAUCGUAAGGAUGAUCUUCAACCAAGAGUGGAGUCAACAUAUGGAGUAAAUUUACUUAACACACAAAAUAUUGUGUCAAAUUGAGAUCAUGCGGCAGAUUCCCUUUGUUUCCUUUAGAAAUCAUUAAAAGUUCAUUUCCUUUUCCCCAAAAAACUGACCUGUUGCACAUUUUUGAGUGAGUGAUGAUUCAUGAUUUCUCUGUUUUUUUGUGUGUGCAUGUGGUGGGGGAAUCCAUACUGAAUGCGUGUACUGGGGUGUUGGGAGGGGUUAAAAUGAGUCAUAGUUUAGUUCACUCAU